CUUCCUCAGAAGUCUGAAUCCCAGUUCCUUGGCCAAACUCCUUUACGAUCUUAAGAUACCAGCACCAGCUAGACAACUCACUCUGCAGAGGUCUGAAACUCACCUCUCCAGGGUCUGUUCUCCAUGUUGCUAAGAUGCUAUCACCAACCGAGUAUCUCGCCCUUCUCAGAAGUCUGGCUCCCAGCUCUGCAAAGUUCUUUCUCUGAACUCCUGAGCCUUAAGUGUUUCUGGAAAUUGGGAGACACUUGCCAUGAAAUCAGAACAUCAUCAAACGGGAGAAUAUAGACCCUAUAAAAAAUGAUACACAGUAUCAUUCCAACAUUUUAAAGCAAGUGAAAUAUGGAUAAAAUAAAAACCAAGAACAGCAUUGAAUGGGGAAAGAGUUCAAGACAUGUAGCAGAGUAAAACAUGGCUGCUAUUCCCUGAGACAGACGAACUCCCUUGAGAAACCACAGGAGAGGCAUUGACUAGACUUUGGACUCUUACUGCCUUGAUUGAGUUAACAAUACCGAUGGAGUUCACCUACUGGCGAAUGAUAAACUGACCCAAAGAAAUUUAAAUAAAUUAUGUAGUUAAGCCUGACACCAUGGAAAACUCCCCUAGACUUCAUGUUGAAACUGGGUAUGAACUUAAGAUAUACUAUUUUGAUAAUGGGGUAGCAAAUGAUGUAGAUUGAGGUUGAUACCUUUAGCAAAGAUCACUGCUGUUGGAGUCAAGCCCAAGUCAAUCAAAGGGUGCAAACCCAAGAGCAACUAUCUCAAAACAAUGCAUCUAUGGCUGCUGAAUCAAAGUGCCCUCAAAACUGAAAUAUUCACGUAAGUGAUGAUGACUGUGUUACUGAUAUGGGCCUUUGAUGGAUCAAUAACAUUGGAAUUUUGUUUGGUUGAGCCAUGAACAGCUACCAUGUUGCUGGAGACUUAAAGUAAAUGUGCCUUAAUUAAUAGCAUAGCUCUCCUCUCACCUUCCACAUCUCCUGUUCCCUCUCUCCAUCUCUAGCCUGAACUCACCUGCUUGAAAAAAGAAAGAUAAUUGGGGGGAAAGGCUAAAGUUUCCUUGUCCCCAAGGGGGAUUGAAGUCCAUACAUACCCAUCCUAGUAAUCUGGGGAACUUUGGAGAAGGUAAGGACUCAAACUUUUACAGCUUUGUUAGGUACAGCCAUUGUAUAUUAUCCCAUGGGGGGAAAGGGACACCCAAUUCAACUGAUGGGGUUUGGGCAAAGUUUGCAGUGCGGAAAGAAAGUUAAAGUAACUUUGUAGGUGAGACCCUUUGGGUUAAUUCAAUAUAUUGUUGUCCUAGUUUUCC